rnacentral:tRNA from 1 species
GGUCCAAUAGCUCAGUUGGAUAGAGCAACAGCCUUCUAAGCUGUGGGUCGCAGGUUCGAAUCCUGCUUGGAUCA